UACGUAGGGUGCGAGCGUUAAUCGGAAUUACUGGGCGUAAAGCGUGCGCAGGCGGUUUUGUAAGACAGGUGUGAAAUCCCCGGGCUUAACCUGGGAACUGCAUUUGUGACUGCAAGACUAGAAUAUGUCAGAGGGGGGUAGAAUUCCACGUGUAGCAGUGAAAUGCGUAGAGAUGUGGAGGAACAUCAAUGGCGAAGGCAGCCCCCUGGGAUAAUAUUGACGCUCAUGCACGAAAGCGUGGGGAGCAAACAGG
rnacentral:rRNA from 1 species